UUUAAAAAAAACAAAAACCAAGAGGAUGGGGAGACUUCAAAGUGGCAAAAAGUGUGCAGGGCUGCGUUUGAAUGAUGGCUGGCGUAUUGUUUUGAUAAGUGUUCCCCGAGGAGGGCAUGUGAGGCAGCGUGUCACUCUCCCCUCUCAUCUCUGCGAUGCGAGGAGCCGGGGCACCGAGGGGACGUCAAGACGCAGCUGUGACUGCGGCGCUCACGCAACAAUACUGCAGAGCGGUUGGCUCGCACUCACACGCAGCGGCCCCGCAUGUCACACGCAAAUGAAUCAAUUUGCUCUAAAUAUGAAAUUAAAUGAACAUGUUGGACCCCGAGACGGUGGCAAUAACGACGCCGGUGCACUGGGAGCAGGGAAAGAACAGAGAGGAGUCUAAAAUGUAGACAAUGUAAAUCAGUCCCCGUGAUGAGCACAUCUGCUUUCAUCAUUGUGAGAUUAUCAGUUACUGUAAGCGCUUGUUAUGAGACAAAACGCAAUGUCAAAUACACUGUGAAUUUCCAUAUUUGUUUAACGUGAGUCUGAGACAUUAAUUAAUGCUGCAUUGUCUCUGCUUGCAAAUUAAAAUCUCAAACGCAGCAGCAUGAAUAAACAUGAGUCAAUUAACCCAUUACUUUGGCCGUGAACAUCUUUUUAGAAGAUGAAAUGGUUGUUAUUGGAGGUCUCAUUAUUAAAUCUGUUCAUGAUGACAUUUUUGACUCGUAGAUUUAAAUAUUUAAAAAAUACACACACACACACACACACACACACACUACUACCUCUAAAACACACACAUGCGCGAAAGUACACAUGUUGUUUUUGUGUGCAUUCAAUUAAUCUGGCAAUAUUCAGCAACCCAUGUCUUACAUGUUUCUCUCUCUUGUGUGCAUCUGCAAUUCAAUUUUUCUAGCAGCUUGAUAUGUAGAGUGACUGGAAGUUGCACACAAUUUUUUUCAAAGGAAGCGUUUUCACAACAGAUUGAAGUAUCUGGAGGAAGAGGCCUCAGUCACUGUGGCAAUAUCAUUCACCUACAGGUUGGACCAUCUCACUGUUAAUCCAUCGUUUGUCUGUUUGCAGAAUGAAACGAAGACAAAAUGAAUUUUCAGCACAAAGACCUGUGAAGAGUAAAACAGUUUUUUUAUCUGUCCCAAAUCCUGAAUUUGCACGAAGGGCUUUACAAUCAGAAGAGCACAGUGCUCUCCAUUUAGCUGUGGUAAAAAUAAAUAAUUAAUGGCAGGAAAAAGGAAAAAAAAAGGAAAAGAAAAAGAUCUCCAUUCCAGGACGACAGGCAGACAAAGACGGGUAGGAACCUUUGGUCCAUUAGAUCGAUUCUGUGAAGAGUUUUUCACCUCUGACUUAGAGGGCUGGCUUUGUUUUAAUACAUAUUUAUUUUAGAAAUGAUUAUAGAACUAGAGUCAAACAGAUGCUGAUUAGUGUUUUUAAUUAGGCCCCAUAUUAAUGAAAUGUUUUUACUGACAGUGAAAAGAAAAGUAGAUUUAAAACCAUCAAACUGAAUAAUAAUCAGUUCUGAUGACGGCUGAUUGGUUAACAGGCAUAGUGACUUGAUCUGGGCCUUUGUUGCAUGUCAUCUGCAUCUGCAUUUCCUGUCUGCAUCUCUAUCUCUACAUCUCUAGCCCCCCCAAAAAUUAUCCAAAAUGUCAAAAAAGAAAUGAUAACGAUGAAAGAGGCCCCUCAUCCACCAGUGUCGGUGAAAUGAAGGGGCAAAAUACGUGAUGGAGAAAUAUUAUAUAGGCACAGUAGUUCUUUGCAGGAAUUACACAUUCUCUCCAAUUAUUAAGCUUGAUAUUUAUUAAAACUAAGAUUUCCACUUUGCCUUUGCAGCAGGAUCACGGAGCUGAGCGGAGGAGUUUACACCCGGAGAAAACCCACAUUACUAGAUUACUGUUGUGCUUCUCAGGGUGUUCCGCUGCAGUCUCUCGUAACGAUGUUGUGGUUGGGGGGGUGGGUAACCAAGCCAUCCCAGCUAUUUCAAGUCGUCGUGGUCUCAUUACAGCAGGCUGUUGGUAAUCCUCUGCCUUUGAUCCGGGGAGCUGAAGGGAGCUGCGUUUUGCCGCAGUUCAAACACUGUUCUCCCUGCUCCCUCAGCACCUCCACCAGGAGCCCCGUGGUAGCUGAGGAGCCGCCGCCGCCGCCGCCGCCGCCGCCGCCGUGUCUGGCAAAGGAGGAGUGGGAAAGUUGUCGGGCUGGUUUGUUUUUUCAGCUGAGCGCAGGACAUAUAGAACGAGGACCUUGAAUCUUUGAGGACCACCUUGGUGCAAAAAUAUCAUUCACAUCUUCUGACCUGAGGGAUGAUUCUGACCUCAGACUGCAAUUGAAGACUCAGACAAGACUAGGAGUGCUGCACUGAGGCAGCAGAGAUCAAAAGGGAAGGAGGGGACAAAAGAUAAAAGAAGAGCCGCAGAUAAGACAUUCUAAAAACUGUCACCAUGUCACCUGCACUUGUCGCAAACAGACUCCCCGGCCCCAGACCUGAGAUGAAUGGAAAUCGUCACAUUGUCAUGCAAAUAUCUUAAACUUCAACAGGCAAAUUCUGAUAUGAGCAAACUGGGAAAAGUCUGAUCACGCCGUGUCUUUGCGGUGGAAGCGAAUGUGUCCGCUUGGUCUCCUGGCUGAUCCCUGUCCUCACAAAGGAAUAAGCUUGUCAGAGAGAAUCCCGCAGCUGUGGGUUUCUGUCCUGUCACAUCCAUCCAGUUACCGGUUGAACAUUGAUGUAGGACUACUUGACCCCAUCUACCUACCACAGGAUCCCAGUGUUGCUGGAGGGAGGAGGAGGCCAAUUACACAGACAAUGUUAACAGUGACGUUGUCACCGCAGUCAGCAACCUUCAACCUGAAACCACAUUAAAGGGGCACUCCGCCAAUUCUUUUAAGUUAACUUAAAAAGGAGAUAUUUUGGCUGGAACUAAAAUAACUAUAGUUUGUUGCAUUUAUUGAAUUAUAGAACAACAAAAAGAAAACUGUUGAUAUGCUGUUAUGAACAAAGCAAUUUAUAUAACAAAUGGCAUUUGUAUGCAGGCCCAUUUGAGACCUUCCCUUAUUUGUGGAAAAUUAAGGAAAUAAAUUGUGUUCAAGAUUAGCCACCUUCGGACGGAAUGUAGAGGCUGCUGGCUGUAGUCAUGACUACAGUGUAGGAUGCAACACAUAUUUUUAAGAUUUUAUUUCAGGUCACAGAGUAACCGCCCGUACGGGACGCUCUAAGAAGUAAGCGAACGCACCUGCAAAUUGACAGCGAUCUUUUCAUUGGUCACUACACCUGGAAUCCUACUGGUUGAGGGUUUUUGAUAGGGUUGUCACACAAAAAAUCGAGAGCGCACAGAAGAAGUGCGAGUGUGAGGAGAAGAGUUGAAGCUGAGAGCAGGAAAUCUGUGCAAGCAACAACAUAAUCUAAGUGUGAGCAACAAUAUUUAGUGCACAGUUUGAGCAGAAGCAGAAUAAAUGUGAAUGCAAGAAGAAACAAUUUGAGCACAAGAAGGAGCUAUUUAAGCGCGAGGGCAGAUUUUUAAGGAAAGAAUGACGAAUCUGAACCUGAAAUCACUAAGUAAUGCGCACAAACCGAAAGACCAAGCCCUUGAAUAAAGCUAGUAAAAUAACUCCAUACACUUGCAGGAGCACUACCACACAGGAGCAGGAGCACUUCCACCCCCCCACACACACACACACACUAACACACAGGUGCUGAUGCUAGCCUGGCCAGGGUAACCCUAACCCAGACUAAUACUCAAAUGCAUAUUAGUCUGGGACCUCUCGGUUCAUUUUCGAUUUCCAAGAGGAAACAUUUACCAACAGAGGCAGACCAAAAGGCCUCCGGACGCAAUAAGAUAGACCUUCAACCAGUGAGCAACGGAUCAUGUGACGUCUGUUGAGGAAAAUAUAAACAGACUGGAGCAGAGAGGAGAUGAAUGUGAUGAUGAUUCCAUAAUGUCUGUGAACCAGUGUGGUCGCUUUUGUGGGAGAAAUGGGAAAAUAUCAGGUACUUUUAGUCAAAUGCUUGGUCAUCAGCGGCAGCCAUCUUGGUUGUUGUUCUCUCCGCGUCACGGCAUAAACCCCGCCCAUUAUCGGAUACUCGGUUGUGAUUGGAGGGAAAUCCCUCUCCAAAGGAGGCGAUCCAGACCGCAUUCUGGCGGAGCAAAUUAAAUGAGCUCCCAGGAUUCACCUGGGUCCCAGGCUCCACGAAGCCACUAGGGGCCCCCCGCAGAGCCUGUGAGCAGUCACACCGCAGAAAAAGCAUCGACUCUGCGAAGGAGGGUUUGACCUAACGUCCCCCCCCCC